AGGAUGACGACGAUCGACUUCAUACUUCUUCUGCGUAUGAAAAUGGAUUGUUCCCUUUGAUUGGACAACUAACGUGUUUAUAGAUGGCUCUCUGACUUGCCAAGUGCCAACGCUGCAAAAAGGCAGAAUUGAUAAAGUCUGGCAUUGCUGUAAUGCUCUAUUGCUGUGGAAGUUGAGAAGUUGACGACAGAUCUGAAAAACUUAAAGUUAUCAGUUUGUAAAGUAAAUCCAUUCUGAAACAUUGUACUGUUCAGAAUGGAGGUUUUCUAUAUACGUAUUGGUGCCCCAAAUCUAAUAAGGAGUUUGUGAGAUCUGAAUGAUAUGAAUGGCCAUCCAGUCAGUUGUAACUGAUAUUCAUGACGAGAUGAUGAAGAUACCGGAGGAGUUAUGGAAUGCCACAGAAAAAAGGAUAUACUGUCAGUUUUUCACCAUUGCACUCGUCACUUGGAAGGAAUGAAGGGAUGGUGUUGCUACUGAUAUGGGAUGUUGAGUCAAGACUUUGCAGCAAGCCAGCAACACAUCAUCAGACAUGGCUACAAGGAGUUGGAAAUGUACUUGCUCGUUGUGAUCGUCCACAGUUUGAUACCAAGGGCAUGUGAUUACCACGACGAACUUGAAGAUGGAUAACCUGGAACAUGAUGAUGGUGUCUUGGUGGAGUAUUGCUAGGUGCUGACCUUUCAACACCGAUUGAUGAGUAAUGCCGUUCGAGAAGUUACUUCUGUGUGUGUUUAACGGUCGGAAGCAACAGUAGCAGUAGCCUGCACAGCAUCUAUGUCAAUAUGAAUGUCGGGUGGUGGAACCAACUUGUUAGCUGGAUUGAAACCUACUUUCUAUCACUGGAUUUAACUGAGUAAUAGCUGUGGGUGUUGGAUCGAGUCAGCGAGAGGCCGUAAUCUGUAUAUUAGGAUUAUUUCAGUUGGGUUUUAUUCAACACACUAGCAAUCUACCUACGAUCGUAAAAAACUAGGCGUCGGGAGAGAGUCAAUGCAGAUGUUACUUGACGCAGAAGUUCUCCAUUAAAAAACCGUUAUCACUUCUAUUAUAUCAAAGGACUUACGCAUCAAGUGAUGAAAUUUGACUAUACGGUCAAUUGAGUUCGACUACAUCACGAGGGGAAGCAUCUAGCCCAUUGUCGUUCAAGAUUUGCAUCACGGCCCCAAGAAAAACUCGCCGUCUAGAAUCUACUCAUCGGUGAAAAUCCAGGACCAUGAAGGAAAUAUCAACUUAGGCCAAACAGCUGUUGCGCUAUACGUAUUACCCUAACCCAUCAACUAAGAGUGUUACUCCUGGAACAUCAAUGAGUGUUGUUCGUCAAACAAUUCUUCGUAAACAAAGUUAUGUAGCUCGAAAACAAGUCGACAUACCUUGUGUCUACACAGCCGGAUUUCGCGUCAACUGGCGUAUUCAAUUAUUCAUAUCUCCAAAGAUGGAAAAAUCAACACACUAGUUUCGAGUCAUUAUACAUAAAACUAACGAUGGGAAAUUUCCAUGAUUUCUCCAGCAUUCUAGCUGAUCAGGACGAUGUAACACUUCAUGGACAACUACGUAAACUUUUAGUUCUUCAUCUUCUUAGUGAAG
rnacentral:lncRNA from 1 species